UACAGAGGUCCCGAGCGUUGUUCGGAUUCACUGGGCGUAAAGGGUGCGUAGGUGGCCUGAAAAGUUUGAUGUGAAAGCUCAGGGCUUAACCCUGAAAUGGCAUUGAAUACUGUCGGGCUGGAGGUUUGGAGGGGGGGACUGGAAUUCUUGGUGUAGCAGUGAAAUGCGUAGAUAUCAAGAGGAACACCAGUGGCGAAGGCGAGUCCCUGGACAACACCUGACACUGAGGCACGAAAGCUAGGGGAGCAAACAGG
rnacentral:rRNA from 1 species